UAUGUAGGUGGCAAGCGUUGUCCGGAAUUAUUGGGCGUAAAGCGCGCGCAGGCGGCCUUUUAAGUCUGAUGUGAAAGCCCACGGCUCAACCGUGGAAGGUCAUUGGAAACUGAAAGGCUUGAGUACAGAAGAGGAAAGCGGAAUUCCACGUGUAGCGGUGAAAUGCGUAGAGAUGUGGAGGAACACCAGUGGCGAAGGCGGCUUUCUGGUCUGUAACUGACGCUGAGGCGCGAAAGCGUGGGGAGCAAACAGG
rnacentral:rRNA from 1 species